GACGAACGCUGGCGGCGUGCUUAACACAUGCAAGUCGAACGGCAAGGCCCUGCUUUUGUGGGGUGCUCGAGUGGCGAACGGGUGAGUAACACGUGAGUAACCUGCCCUUGACUUUGGGAUAACUUCAGGUAACUGGGGCUACUAUCGGAUAGGAGCUCCUGCUGCAGGGUGGGGGUUGGAAAGUUUCGGCGGUUGGGGAUGGACUCGCGGCUUAUGAGCUUGUUGGUGGGGGAGUGGUUUACCAAGGCUUUGACGGGUAGGCGGCCUGAGAGGGGGACCGGGGACAUUGCGACUGAGAGACGGCCCAGACUCGUACAGGAGGCAGCGGUGGGGAAUAUUGGACAGUGGGCGGAAGUCAGUGGAAGCAACUCGGCGUGUGGGAUGACGGUCUGCGGGGUGUAAACCGCAUUCGGCUGUGACGCAGAUGGAGUGACGGUAAUGGGUAAAUAAGCACCGGCUAAGUACGUG
rnacentral:rRNA from 1 species